GGAGGAAAAGAAACCAACUGGGAUUCCCUCAGUAACGGCGAGCGAAGAGGGAAAAGUCCAGCGCCGAAUCUCUCGUCCUUCGGGGCGGCGAGAAAUGUGGCGUUUAGGAGCGAGCUUGCCGGAGGCCGGCGUUGCAGCAAGUCCCCCUGACCGGGGCUCUUACCCAGAGCGGGUGCGAGGCCCAUGGCGGCGACGCCUCCUCCGGAUGCGAACUCUCGGGAGUCGGGUUGCUUGGGAGUGCAACCCAAAUCGGGUGGUAAACUCCACCUAAGACUAAAUACGACCGUGAGACCGAUAGCAAACAAGUACCGUGAGGGAAAGUUGCAAAGAACUUUGAAGAGAGAGUUCAAGAGUACGUGAAACUGCUCAGAGGGAAACGGGUGGGCCCUCGAAAUCCCACUCGCGGGGGGAUUCAGUCGGGAGGGGCUCGGGCUUCGCCGCGUCCGGACCUCAGGGCCGGGCCGGCGUCGCGGUCAGAGUCUUUUCCGCCCGACGCAUUUCCCCCCGCGCUUGAGGACGCCGCGACCGGUCGGGUAGCAGCGAGAGUCGGCCGCUGAGGGCGUGCGAGGCAGUUGGCCGGGGAUCGUGCCUCGCGUGCGUUUUCCCGGUUGUUAGCCUGCUGCGCUCGUGGCGCGACACCCGACCGAGGUCGAGGUUCCCGAGUCUCGGGAACGAGUUUUCCGUCCCCAACGGUUUUCGUAGCGGGCGUCCCGGCAGGCGUUUGCCGCGGGGUUGGCGACCCACCGUUUUCGGUGGCCGCCGCCUCGUCGGUCGCCGCUGGUUUCGGACGGCGCCCCGCGGUCGGGGAGCGCGAAAGUCUGCGGCGAGUAGGUCGGUCACCCACCCGACCCGUCUUGAAACACGGACCAAGGAGUCUAACAUGUGCGCGAGUCGCAGGGUCUUGUUUAGGCCCGGAGGCGCAAUGAAAGUGAAAGGGCUGGCGCUCGCGCCGCCCGUGCCGGGAUUCCUCGCCCGCUCGCGAGCGAGGAAGCACCGACGACCCGCCCCUUCCGAUCCGUCGGUGGGGCGGAGUCCGAGCGUACACGUUGUGACCCGAAAGAUGGUGAACUAUGCCUGGGCAGGACGAAGCCAGAGGAAACCCUGGUGGAGGUCCGUAGCGGUUCUGACGUGCAAAUCGAUCGUCAGACCCGGGUAUAGGGGCGAAAGGCUAAUCGAACUAUCUAGUAGCUGGUUCCCUCCGAAGUUUCCCUCAGGAUAGCUGGCGCUCGGAGGAACUCAGUCUCAUCCGGUAAAGCGAAUGAUUAGAGGCCUUGGGGCCGAAACGACCUCAACCUAUUCUCAAACUUUAAAUGGGUGAGAAGUCCGGCUUGCAUGACCGAAGCCCGGACGUUGCGUUGCGAUGAGAGUGCCCAGUGGGCCACUUUUGGUAAGCAGAACUGGCGCUGUGGGAUGAACCAAACGCCGGGUUAAGGCGCCCGAUGCGAGACGCUCACGAGACCCCAUGAAAGGUGUUGGUUGCUACUGACAGCAGGACGGUGGCCACGGAGGUCGGAAUCCGCUAAGGAGUGUGUAACAACUCACCUGCCGAAGCAACUAGCCCUGAAAAUGGAUGGCGCUCCAGCGUCGAGCCCAUACCCGGCCGUCGCGGCAGAGCGCGGAGGCUUACGCCGCGACGAGUAGGAGGGUCGCAGCGGCGAGCGUCGAAGGUGCCGGGCGCGAGCCCGCCUGGAGCCGCUCUAGUC
rnacentral:rRNA from 1 species